AGAUCAGCUGAUCAUCAUCCAAUUUGAAAGUACUGCUCCUCUCAUCAAAGCUUCAGCUGUUUGCUCGACUCUCAGUUACAAGAACAACCACUGUAUUUCUACAAUCAUCUGAACAUUUCAGGGGCAACAUGGCAUAACAGUGCACCAUCAGUGGUCCCAUGCCAUCCAGAUUACGUUCCAUCAAUUUUCGCUCAAAAAUACCAUUGAUUGUUCACAGAAGUUGGAGCGAUACCAGAGGAGACCAU